UAGGGAAUCUUCCACAAUGGACGAAAGUCUGAUGGAGCAACGCCGCGUGAGUGAUGAAGGGUUUCGGCUCGUAAAACUCUGUUGUUGGAGAAGAACAGGUGUGAGAGUAACUGUUCACAUCUUGACGGUAUCCAACCAGAAAAGCCACGGCUAACUACGUGCCAGCAGCCGCGGUAAUACGUAGGUGGCAAGCGUUGUCCGGAUUUAUUGGGCGUAAAGCGAGCGCAGGCGGUUCUUUAGGUCUGAUGUGAAAGCCUUCGGCUUAACCGGAGAAGUGCAUCGGAAACCAGGAGACUUGAGUGCAGAAGAGGACAGUGGAACUCCAUGUGUAGCGGUGAAAUGCGUAGAUAUAUGGAAGAACACCAGUGGCGAAGGCGGCUGUCUGGUCUGUAACUGACGCUGAGGCUCGAAAGCAUGGGUAGCGAACAGGAUUAGAUACCCUGGUAGUCCAUGCCGUAAACGAUGAGU
rnacentral:rRNA from 1 species